rnacentral:misc_RNA from 1 species
GAUGAAGAACGCAGCGAAAUGCGAUAAGUAAUGUGAAUUGCAGAAUUCAGUGAAUCAUCGAAUCUUUGAACGCACAUUGCGCCCACUAGUAUUCUGGUGGGCAUGCCUGUUCGAGCGUCAUUUCAACCCUCAAGCCUUAGUUGCUUGGUGUUGGGAGCUUAUCUUGCCGAAAGGCGGACAACUCCUUAAAACUAUUGGCGGAGUCGCGGUGACCCCAAGCGUAGUAAAUUUUUUUUUUCUCGCUUUAGGUGUUAACGCUGGCUUUCUAGCCGUUAAAACCUCUAAAUUUUUAGUGGUUGACCUCGGAUCAGGUAGGACUACCCGCUGAACUUAAGCAUAUCAAUAAGCGGAGGA